ensembl:snoRNA U3 Small nucleolar RNA U3
AAGACUAUACUUUCAGGGAUCAUUUCUGUAGUUGGUCACUAGAGGAGAGUGAUCUUCCCUGAUCGGCGUCACAAGCCACGAGGAGGAGCGAGGUGUUCUCUCCUGAGCGCGAAGCGGGCGUUGCGGUGGUGCUUGUGCAGGAGCCGCUCGCCAUUGAUGACCGUUCCCGGCCCUCUUGUUUGGGGUUUGGGAGGGAGAGAACACGGGCUGAGUGGU